rnacentral:tRNA from 1 species
ACAUAUAAAGCAAUUUGCAUUUAGUUUCGACCUAAAAGAUAGUUUAUUUAAUUAAUCUAUAUGUA